UGCAUUUAUCAGACCAAAAACCGGCCCGCGUCUUCGGGCGCGUUCGCCUUGGUGACUCUGGAUAACUUUGCGGAUCGCACGGUCUAGCACCGGCGACGGAUCAUUCAAGUGUCUGCCCUAUCAACUUUCGUCGGUACGGUAUUUGCCUACCGAGGUUCUUACGGGUGACGGGGAAUCAGGGUUCGAUUCCGGAGAGGGAGCCUGAGAAACGGCUACCACAUCCAAGGAAGGCAGCAGGCGCGCAAAUUACCCAUUCCCGACGCGGGGAGGUAGUGACGAAAAAUAACAAUGCAGGACUCGUUCGAGGCCCUGUAAUUGGAAUGAGUACACUUUAAAAGCUUUAACGAGUAUCCAUUGGAGGGCAAGUCUGGUGCCAGCAGCCGCGGUAAUUCCAGCUCCAAAAGUAUAUAUUUAAGUUGUUGCGGUUAAAAAGCUCGUAGUUGGAUUUUGGGCGCAGGCGGCCGGUCCGUCGCAAGGCGUGUACUGGACGUCCUGGCCUUCCCUCCGGUUCUCCGCCGGUGCUCUUGACUGAGUGUCGGCGGCGGCCGGAACGUUUACUUUGAAAAAAUUAGAGUGUUCAAAGCAGGCUCUCGAGCCUGGAUAAUGGUGCAUGGAAUAAUGGAAUAGGACCUCGGUUCUAUUUUGUUGGUUUUCGGAGCGCGAGGUAAUGAUUAAGAGGGACAGACGGGGGCAUUCGUACUGUGCCGUUAGAGGUGAAAUUCUUGGAUCGGC
rnacentral:ncRNA from 1 species